UACGUAGGGGGCUAGCGUUGUCCGGAAUCAUUGGGCGUAAAGAGCGUGUAGGCGGUUUGGUAGGUCCGCUGUGAAAACUCGAGGCUCAACCUCGAGACGCCGGUGGAAACCAUCAGGCUAGAGUCCGGAAGAGGAGAGUGGAAUUCCUGGUGUAGCGGUGAAAUGCGCAGAUAUCGGGAGGAACACCAGUGGCGAAGGCGGCUUCCUGGCCUGUUCUUGACGCUGAGGCGCGAAAGCUAGGGGAGCAAACGGG
rnacentral:rRNA from 1 species